AUGAAGGCUGAUAGUGGAGAUUUAUCUGGUGGCAAAACCCUGACCUAGGAGUAGGGCAGUGAGACAGUUAGGCAAUUUUCAUUUUGGGGAGGUUUAUAUUUAAAUUUUUUUGUGGAGCUCACUUUUAUCUAUGUUUGGGAGAAAAUGCAGUUUCUCACAUGUAUCAAGCUUGGCAGGGAUGUGGGGAGGCCAAGAGAGGGAUCUGCUGUCUGCGGCUAUCAGCACGAACCCUCUGGACACAGAGACCCAAGAGACUGAGACGGGCUGCGGAGGGCUGUGGCCCCCAUUUCACACCUGACAUGGAGGUCGCUGAGUAUUCAGAAACUGGUGGCUCCCACUGUGGUUGGCAUUUUAUCCACCAGGCCAAAUUGUUUGGCAGUUCAAAGUCACUAUCCAGUGAAAGGGAUUCUUCUCUCUGUCAACCUUCAAGACUCUCAAGGACCCAAAGGGCUAAGACACCAGCGCAUUUUAAAGAUGUUUCCACUUUAUAAAUCAUCCUUUUCUGGCAGCCACCGAGAGCCGCUCCCCCAACAACACACACGGAGCCCAACGUAGUGCUUUCCCGUUGGCCAGAGAUGGGGAUGGAAACAGAAGAGCGGCGCCCCUGGGAUGAAAAACUUGGGGUUCGAGUCACUCACGAAAAUGUAUGAAAACUGAACAGCAUAGUCUAUUUCCCUCUCCCCAUCUGCUGAGAGGCAUCUCUGGGUCUCCAAUCAAUGCAUUCCUGAGAAACCUCCUCAGGUCCUCAAAGAGAGGAGGGCAAAGCAGCCCCCCAGGGGGCCAAAAGUGCUGGAGCUGGGACUUUUGAGCGUCGCGAUCCCUGUUUGGAUUCAUUUGCAUAGCGCUGCCCCUCCCCUCGGUCUUUCCCGCAAGGCCCGCGCGGCUGCGGUGGCCCCCUGCGGGCUUUGGCGGCCCAGUCCCAAGCUGCGAAGGGAGGUGGCACUGACGCCCGAGGAGGCAGAGAGGCCUCCCACAGGCCACCAGGCCGGGGCCGAGAGGACUUCUAAGGGACCUCCCUGGCCCCCCUUGCUCCCCACCGCCAUCCCCGGAAGUAAAUCUCCCAGCGCUGACCUGCCAGCCUUAGUGAUGAUCAUCUCGGUGCCCGCCUCGUGGAACUUCUUCCAGAGCUCCUUCUCAUGCAGCCCCACCUUGAUGUUCUCGAUGGUCUGGGGAUGGGAGGGAGAGAAACUUGUGUCUGCCAGGCCCAGGGCUCCACGCGGAGCCUGAGGAAAGAAGAACCAGACCCGAAGAGCUGUGCGGAACCCUGCCCGCCCGGAGCCCAUGGCUCCAGAUUUCGUUUCACAGAACGAUUUUGAACUAUUCGUGAAUAUAAAAGAAUUAAUCGGUGGCUAAAACUUCCUCCUUUAAAGCUGCACCUACGGAGGAACCCUCAGAGGACACACAUAGUGGCCAGCGCAGGUUAGACGACACUCCUGCUCACUCAUGAACAUUUCUGUGGCGGGCCAUCGCCACAGGCUCCCGGGGCAGACACAGACAGGGAGAGGCGCACGCACCCUCGGCCAGGCGCGCGCCUGCAGAUAGUGCACACAGAUCCCCAGGCGGCAUCCCGUGCGCUGUGAUCGUCCGAUUAUCACUGUGAAGCCCUCGGCGACGUCCCAGAGGCCUCGGAUCCCCGCAGCGGCUCCCGUGCGCACCGGCGGGGUGGCCUCCUCCUGCCCCCUCGCCGUUGGGUCCCAGGCCCUCUACGGGUUGUUGGAGCUGGACACUUGGUCCAGGCUCGCUCAGAUGCUACGGGGGUCUCCCUCUCUCUUACCGCCCUCUCCUCUAUCUCUAGCUCUAGCUCUUGCUUGUCCCAGAGUAGCCCCGAGGGCUCAAAGUGGAGAAGGACCCAAAAGGCAGAGAAAGCGAGCCAUGUCCAGUGGAGAACGAACGGGCAGACCGUCCUGAAUGCAGCCAGGUCCUCCUGAAAGCGAGUCCUGCCGACAAUCGGACGGAAAGACGGACACAGGCGGCCCCGCAGACAGACCGACGCCCGACUUCUACCCGACGGCUGGCGCAGCCCUACCUGCUCCGCGGCGGCGGCGGCGACGACGUCGGCCCCGGGUCCCGGGGGGCUGCCUAGCGCGGCUCCGCUGAGGCCCGGCGCUGCCAGCGCGGGCUCGGGGGCGUUGGCUGCGCUGGCCUCUCCGAGCGCUGGGCCCGGGGCCCGGAAGGCCUCCUCGCUCUCGGACAGGCCCUUAUCCUGCAGCAUCUCCUGCGGGCACAGCACACAACGAGUCACUCGCCCAGGUCCACACUCGCCAGAGGACCCCUGGCCCUCUCCAGCCGAUUCCGGGACUUCGUGCGGGGCGCGGAGGCAGCCCUGGAGCACGUGGACCCCGCCCCCUCCUGAGCUGGAGGAGGGAACCCGCAAGGAAGGCAGGUCCCUCGCCUCCUCCCUUCAGGCUGUGGACCUGGGAGGGUCUGCGGCAGUUCAAUGUCUGCCUGCCCCUGGGUGUGGGGUUCUGUGAUGAGUAGGUCUAGGGGAGGGACCGCCCUCUCGGCAUUGCCACAGCUGCACCCCGAGUCCCUCACUCCUACUGAGCUCCGGUGGAGCCUGAGGCCUGGGCCUUCUCGGCUGUUCCCCAAUAACUGGGGUCCAGGCCUCUCUGUGGGCCCAGGACAGCCAGGACACCUCCUGGCCAUGCAGGAAAGGAGAGCCAGGCUGGAGGGCAGGGCCCAGGCUCCUGCAGCUCCACACCUGUGUGCAGAGAGGGCCUCAGGACCUCAGGCCCAGCUCACCCAUCUGCCCUCACCCAACCCCUCAGACAGCACUGAGGUAGAGACUUCCUGAACCAAAGGCUUUCACUCCAACACACUCCCCGUCCACACACAUCCUCUUCCCGUUCUGGCACAGACAUCCUCACACCCAAACACAGCCCCUCACACAGCAUCCCACCAGCCUGAGCAGCCACACUCUCCUGGGUGACUGAUCCAGGCUCUGCCCUCAGCCCAGGCCUCCCCUACCUGGUGCUCGAGUUCGAACCUACAGGCUCACUCAGGCACACUUUAGCGCCACAGGGCUCUGCUUUGGGCCUAAAGACCCACACCCUUCCCAGUGAAGGACCAGGCCAGCAGGCUGGGCCCAUUCACAGGAACCGCUUAGCCCUGCCUGGCACAGCUACAUUUCUUCGGCUGUCUUGGCUGAUUCCCUCGCCUACUCAGGUGCCUGCUCCCUGCCCGAAGCAGGUCCUGGGGCCUCGGGAUGAGAGCACAGCCUGAGAGGCCAGCCUGCCCGCAUCCCUUAAGGGUGUGCCCCGCUUGCUCCGCUUCCCCUUUCCACCUCCCUGCUCUUCCCCAUCCUGCUGGACCUGGGCGCUCCAGCGGAGCUUUCUGUAGGUCUGACGGCCCUUCUUGAGGCGGAAUGCCCCGCCUUUCUCUUCCUACCUUCUUCCCGCUCUCCCCGGGCCCUCCCGGAGCAUCCCCGGGCUCAGGCCUCUCGCCCAUCUUGUUCAGAGGCCUCCUCAUCCCGGGCUUAGACUUCGACUCCCAGGACCUCGCAAAGUAAACAAGCCAAGUGCAACCCAGGAGAUAAAAAGGGGCCGGGGCCAGUCUGGGUUGGGAAAAACCCAUAAAGAUAAGGUUGACAGGCGGACCAGUCUUCGGCCACAGCCUGCAGGGAGUGAGACUCGCUGGACAUGGCCAGCGCCAGCACCCGCCUCGGGCCACGUGCGAACGCGGGCCGAGCCUCGGAAACCUAGGAGUCCCCACACAGGGCCGCUGCGCCAGUAGGGUAGCUGCCCGCUCCGGCCAGCGCGCUGGGUCCAACUAUAUCUAGGGCCCCGGCGGGAUCGGCUCCAGCGACCAAGCGAUCCGCUGGUCCCAGAUGUGGCGGCCUGCGGGGUCGCAAGGAGGGGCCGUCUCGCGCUUGGCCCGCAUGGCCAUGGGGUCCUCUGCUGGGCUCUUGUCACACCCGGAGCCGUGCAGCGGAGCCCUGCGGCUCGCGCCCUGCGCUCUCAGUCCUACGCGCUCAGCCCUGCCCUGUGAGGAGCUGGUUCACCGCCCGCGUCCACUGACGCCGGUCCCGCAGCUCGGACUGGGGACGAGGCCUGCUCAGUGCUCUCCCUCCCGGGCUCAGGGUUUGCCUCUUCCUUUUCUCUCCGCCACGAAGCCACAUCCAGACCUCGGGACAGCUUGCCCCCUUCCCAGCAAUUUCCUUUUUUCCACGCCCGGCUGGCCCGGGGCGGCCGUCCUCGCGGUCCUCUCGGACCUCGAGCUUGGGCGCGCUCGGCCGCCGCCAGCACCGCGGGGUCCCGCACUCAGCACCGCAUAGCGGUCCGCUCUCGUCCUUCACAUCCACUCCUCCGCGGGUGCGGCCCGCAACCUCCGCUGCCUUUGCGAUGGGGUCUGUUGCUUUCAGCUGCCUCGUUUUCCAAAGACGACAGCAUUUCUCUUUUCAUUUUUAGGUUACUGGGGAUAUGUUUCUUGCACUAGGGGAACUGUUACUAUUUCGUGCUUUUUAAAAUAUUUUAAUUGUCCUUAUUACCAUAGUAGUAUUUUGAUCAGUUCGGGAACUUUGAGAAUAUCCUAUCGCGUGGAUUAUUACUACUUUGUAUCUUUAAUACUGUAUGGUUAAAGCCCUGCUUUGAUUCGUUAGCUUACUGUUACUAAAUUUGUUGUUUUCCUGUCACUGUUCCAUCAUUUCAGGGCCGCCUGGCACAUUCAUAAUACUAUUUCCAAUAUCGAGGUGACAUAGUGAACAAUAGGUCACGUUAAUCUAUUGUAAUUUUUUAUUCUUGCUUUGUAUCCCUAAUACGUUUCCGUUGCUUGCUCUUCAUUUUGAUUAUACUUUGUCACGCUGUUUCAAUAACUUCUUGUUUACCAUAACUUGUUAUAUAAUUGUUCUCAAAAUUCAUGUUAAUUUCCCUCACAUCCUUAUAAUACUUCUUGUUAUCUAACCACAAUUUGUUUUGUUAGGCUUGCUCAUAACACUCCAGGUAUUAUUCUUCAACACACCCCGACAGUAUCUUGUUACUUUGUCAUUAUUUGUAAUGUUACAGAUCUGAACUCGCUAGUUACUCAUCACAUCAUUACUUCUUGUUAUUUUGUCAUACUUUGUAAUAUUGUUGUAGCUCUUAAUACUCUGAUUAUUUUUCAUCACAUUGGUACAAUACUUCUUAUUACUCAACCAUUAUUUAUAAUGUUCUUGUGACUAUUAAUACAUUGGUCAUAAAUUGUCAUAUUACUCCAGCAAUUCUUGUUAAUAUGUCUUUAUUUAUAUUACUAUUGCUCCUAAGAUUUUAGUUAAUAUUUCUUUUAAUAGUUCACUGUAGUAUCAAUAAUACAUUAUAUUAUUAUAUCACUACCACUAAUAGUAUUUCCCUUAAUAGUAUUUUCAUUGUUCAUCUUUCUCCUACAGUUCGUUUGCUAGUUUCCUACAGUUUGGUAAUUUGUUACACUAUUACUAUAUGUUAUAUUAGUGCAAUUGGUUUUAAUAAACAGUCCUUACAUUGUUCCUCUA